GUAAGUCCGAGUAUCGUUUUCCCAAAAGACUCUUAGGCUUUAACUUUCAUGUAACCUAAUUGCAUAAGACUUGAGAAAAGAGAAUAAAUUUGGUGGUGAUAUGCAAAGAACAAAAAUAAACAUGCAAUGCAAUUGAUUCAAUUGGUUUUGGAAAACUAUAUGGAUGAAUGGUGUUGUUGGGGUUUACAAUUUCAUCUUAUCCACUCUCAUAUAUCUACUCUUCUUAUUUAAUUCACUUAUUUAACUAAUCUCUAUGCAUACUUUCUUAAUUACCCUUAACCCAAUCCCUUGGUGAAAAGAGCCUAUUACUAAUUACCGGCUUGCUAUCCCUAGCCUCCCCUAGUAACCAAUAAUGCAAUGCGAUAUGAAGUAAUUACAAAUGAUCGUCCCCUAGGCGAUAUUGACAUAAUCAAGGAAUUUCCCAC
rnacentral:lncRNA from 1 species